UGCAGCCCAGGGCAGAGUGCCAACUUCUUU
rnacentral:piRNA from 1 species